AUUGAACGCUGGCGGCAGGCCUAACACAUGCAAGUCGAACGAGUGGCGGACGGGUGAGUAAUGUCUGGGAAACUGCCUGAUGGAGGGGGAUAACUACUGGAAACGGUAGCUAAUACCGCAUACCAUCGGAUGUGCCCAGAUGGGAUUAGCUAGUAGGUGGGGUAACGGCUCACCUAGGCGACGAUCCCUAGCUGGUCUGAGAGGAUGACGAGCCACACUGGAACGGAGACACGGGCCAGACUCCGACGGGAGGCAGCAGAGGGUAAUAUUGCACAAGGGGCGAAAGCCUGAUGAAGCCAUGCCGCGUGUAUGAAGAAGGCCUUCGGGUUGUAAAGUACUGUCAGCGGGGAGGCGUUACCCGCAGAAGAAGCACCGGCUAACGCCGUGCCAGCAGCCGCGGUAAUAC
rnacentral:rRNA from 1 species